GAUUGCAUAUAUAAUCUAUAGAUGUCUAAUUUCAUUUUGACAAAAAAAAAAACAAUAAAUAAAAUAAGGAAUUCAAAUAAAUUAAAUUAAUAAAAUGAAUGGAGUAUUCACUAAUGUGUUGUGGUAUAUUGAAUUCUUUGUGUUUGCUGUGACUUUAAUAGGUUUCUUUUUUUUCUUUUUGUAUUUUGCUGAUUUGAAUUUUAUUUCUUAUAACAUUAGAUUCGAUAUGAGGAAAAAAUAUAUUGCAGACGGCACAUGGUUUUUGCAGAGUUGAAAUAGAUGAAAAUGCAGCCUAAAAUUAUAGUAUUACAAAGUAGCAAGCAGAAACCGUCAAAAUUGCGCGUUGUCGAAGUCGAUCGGAGACCAAUAUGGUGCGAUCUCAGCUGCAUCUGGUUUUGCAGACUGAUCUCUACUGUGUUCGCGGUGGCGUUGUGCUAUUAUUUUGCGUAUUCUCUACUGUCGGACACGAAGCUGAAGUUUGGACUGUUUAUGCCUUAGCCGGCAUGGCUCCGGUUGCGUCAUCGUAAUAAAAGCCACGAAAACGGGUUCAAUAUUUAUUUACGGAUUGAUUCGAUUUAACAUUACCAUAGCUAAAAAUACACUGAUAAAUGUACAAGACAAACAAAAGAAAACGAAUAAAAAUGUGUUAUUAAUUAUCAAUCACAAACAAGUUUAGGAUUUCCAACAUUAAAUGCCAAUAAAAACCUUUAAAAUUAA